rnacentral:lncRNA from 1 species
GCUCGGCCUCUCUGUUUAGCCCUAAAUCACCGAUUUGGGGAUUUGCCCUAAUUUACCAAUGUAGAAUUACCCCCAAAUUUCCUUCCUUUCAUAGUUCCGAUUUUUUCUUUCAGAAAUUCCCAAUUUGUAGAAUUAACCCUAAAUUUCGUGUCUUUGAUAGUUAUGCUUUUUGUUUGGCGUUUGAUGUUAAAUGGGAUUUGUGGGGGAAUGAUGGUACAUGCACUGGGCUCUGAGCAGUUCAAAAUCGCUUUCAAUGGUUGCUCAGAAAUUACUGUUUUUGGUACUGCUAGUUUGGAUUGUUUAAGGUGUAUUAUAUCUAAAUGCAUGAAAUUUAAAUUGUGUUUUUGGGUAGAUUUUCUGUUAACUAUUGUUCUUGUUAUCAUGCAUUCUACUAAUCUCCAUUGCAAUGCAAAUGAAUGGUGGAGUUGUCAUUGUAGGUUGCUGAUUUGGGAUUUUGCAGUAAUGAUAUUUCUGUUCUAAUUUUUGGAUGCCUGAUGAUGGAAAACUCAUUUUCUGAGCGGUUACGCGGGUUUUUUUUACGAGCUUUUUGUAUCAUUUUUGCUGUACUAGUCUCUCUCUCUCUGUCUCUCUCUCUCUCUCUCUCUCUCUCUCUCUCUCUCUCUCUUUCUCUCUCUCUCUCUCUCUCUCUCUUUCUCUCUCUCUCUCUCUCUGUCUUUAUGGCUUGUACAGUUGAAGAUGUGAAAAGGCUCAUGGUGAUAAUCCCGCAGAUAACUGUCUAUGACCAGAUAUAGCUAUGAGAUCUGAAGGCUUGUUUACAGGCAUUUUCUUUUCCCUAACAGAUGUGUAUUGAAUUUUCAGUUGUUUUGUUUCGUUAAUACAACAACAACAACAAAACUUUUUUCCAUUAAAUGGGGUCGGCUAUAUGAAUCUUAUAACGUCAUUGCGCUCGGUUUUGUGUCAUGUCCUCCGUUAGAUCCAAGUACUCUAAGUUUUUUCUUAGGGUUUCUUCCAAAGUUUUCCUAGGUCUUCCUCUACCCCUUUGCCCUGAACCUCUAUCCCGUAGUCACAUCUUCGAACCGGAGCGUAAGUAGUCACAUCUUCGAACCGGAGCGUAAGUAGGCUUUCUUUGCACAUGUUCAAACCCAUUUUGUUUCGUUAAUGAUUUCUGUAUAUGUAUUCUUACUAUUGUAUUGAUCUGAAGUUUUCUGUUAAUAGAAAACCGAAGAGCACUUUUGGCGUUGCGGUAUUUUACCCCUAUAAAACGAUUAUUGGAGAUUGUUUUGGUUAGAAGAUGGUUAUAGAUUUUUGAUUUACUUUAUCUUCUGGUUCAAAUAUGAUGCCCAGUGAUGGGAGAAUUGAAAACCUAAACAGUGGUAAGCGUGGUUGAUUUUUCAUUAGCCCGUACUUACCACAAGCACCACCUCUCUCUCUCACUACAACAAACAACAACCAAGCCUUAUCCCACUAUACGUGGGAUUGGCUGGAUGAAUCAUUGAACGCCAUUACGCUGGGUUUUGUGCCAAGUCUUCCGUUAUCUCUGUCUCUCAUACAUAUAAAUAUAUACAUACAUUCACACAUACAUACGUUGGUGGUGCAUGGUGGAGUACGAAGGCUUUUGAGGAACGCCACUAGCCGUGAACUGUAUAUGACUCGUUCAAAGGUGUGAGAUCUGAGGGCACGAACCUUUGAAGUAGUGAUGCUUGUCAAGUUAUUUUUCAAGGUUAGAGCACGAGCCUUUGGUGUAGUAAUGUUGUGCUAAUGAUGAGUUAUACUCUGUAUCUAGCCUUUCUUUUUCUUGAAUUAUUUUGGAUCAUUACCAUGUUCUCUGAUAUAGUUUUUUUGCUGCUUCUGAAAGGUUUAUUUGCCUAAUGAUGGAAAACUCAUUUAUGGAGCGGUUCUGUGGAUUGUUAUUAGGAGCCUUUUCUAUCAUUUUCCUAUACUAGUCGCCGUCAUCAUCAACACCACCAUUCUUCUCUCUCUCUCUCUCUCUCUCUCUCUUCUCUCUCUCUUCUCUCUCCCUCUCUGGCUUGUAUGGUUGAAGAUGUGAAGAGGUUCAUAGUGAUAAUCCACAGUUAACUAGCAAUGACCAGAUAUAGCUAUGAGAUCUGAAGGCUCUUCAGUUUUUUGCCUUUUUUUAUUUAAGAUAUGCUUGUUGAAUUUUAAAUUAUUUUUGUUCCCUUAGUUAUUUAUAUAGGUCAUUGCAGCAUUGUAGACAUUAUUUUAGUUUAACUGGAGCACUUUUGGCAUUGCAGUAUUUGAUUACUAUAAAUGUACUGUUACUUUUGUAUUGAUUUCAAAUUUUCUGUUAAUAGAAAACCAAAGAGCACUUUCGGCAUUGCAGUAUUUUUGUAUAUAAUGCGAGCUCCCUUCAGACUCAAACCUGCUUGUACAUUGUUACAUAUAAAGCUAAUAAACUGUCGUUUGGAAAAAAAUUCACUCUUUCAUUGUUACUGAGUGCUUUUAUUUCCUACAAAGCUAUUAUUGUAGAUUGUUUUUGUUGAAAGAUGGUUAUACAUUUUGAUUAACUUUAUCUUCUGGUUCAAAUAUGAUGCCCAGUGAUGGAAAGUUGAAAACCUAAAUAGUGGUAAGGGUGGUUGAUUCUUCAUUAUCCCGUACUAACCACAAGCACCACCUCUCUCUCUCUCUCUCUCUCUCUCUCUCUCUCUCUAAUAUAUAUACAUACAUACAUACACACACAUACGUUGGUGCUGCAUUGUGGAGUAUGAAGGCUUUUGAGGAACGCCAUUGCCCAUGAACUGGAAAUGACUUAUUGCUAUGUGAUCUGAGGGCAUUUUCAUAGAACUCACUAUUUUCAAUUACCUAUUUGGGGAUAUAUCCCUCCUUGCAGUCCAAAUUUUGCGCCGCAAGUUACUUUGACCCCACAUGUGCGUUUGGGCCCCAAAUUUUGUUUCUUUCAUAAUUAUGAUUUUUAUAUGGGCUGAUUGUCUGUUCUGUUCUUGUUUCAAACUGUUGUUUCAUAAAAACCUGUAUUUUUCUUGACUGGGUGAUAGGCCUUUGAUAUUAAGUUGUUUUGAUGAUGGUUUAUUUUCAUUUGUGCUAGAAGUUUAUAAUGGCAUAGUUCUGAGUGGAGUGCUUGUUUAAUUGGCAGUUGGGGUUGGGUUAUAACUGUUAUGUGAUUGUGGGGAAUGAUGGUACCUGCAGUGGUCUCUGGGCAGUUUGGGAUUGCAAUUGUCGAUGGAAAUGCAGCCUAGAAUGCUAUUUAUGAUCCCUGGAGUAAUUCUACUUUGGGGUAUAUUUCAUGUUAUUGUUGUCAUCAUUCAAUUAACUUAUUGUGUCGCAAUGGAAAUUACUGGUCAAGUUAUUUAUGACCCCUGAAUUAGUGAUGUUGUGCUAAUGAGUUAUACUCUGUCUAUAGUCUUUCUUUUUCUUGAAUUAUUUUGGGUCAUUACCAUGUUCUUUGAUAUAGCUUUUUUGCUGCUUCUGAAAGGUGGUUCAGUUUUUAUUUGCCUAAUGAUGGAAAACUCAUUUAUGGAGCGGUUAUGUGGAUUGUUAUUAGGAGCCUUUUCUAUCAUUUUCCUGUACUAGUUGCUGUCACCAUCAACACCACCAUCCUCUCUCUCUCUCUCUCUCUCUCUCUCUCUCUCCCUCUCCCUCUCCCUCUCCCUCCCUCUCCCUCUCCUCUCUCCCUCUUUCCCUCUUUCCCUCUCUCCCUCUCUCCCUCUCCCUCUCUUGCUUGUAUGGUUGAAGAUGUGAAGAGGUUCAUAGUGAUAAUCCACAGUUAACUGGCAAUGACCAGAUAUAGCUAUGAGAUCUGAAGGCUCUUCAGUUUUUUGCCUUUUUUAUUCUUAAGAUAUGCUUGUUGAAUUUUAAAUUAUUUUUGUUCCUUUAGUUAUUUCAAUAGACAUUUCCUUUUCUGGUCAUUGCAGUAUUCUAGACAUUAUCUUUGGUUUAACUGAAUAGCACUUUGGGCAUUGCAGUAUUGUGAUUACCAUAAAUGCACUGUUACUUUUGUAUUGAUUUCAAAUUUUCUGUUAAUAGAAAACCAAAGAGCACUUUCGGAAUUGCAGUAUUUUUGUAUAUAAGGCCAGCUCCCUCUGGAGUCAAACCGCUUGUAGAUUGUUUCAUAUAAAGGUAAUAAACCAUUGUCUGGAAACUAUUGUUGUAGAUUGUUUUAGUUGAAAGAUGGUUAUAGAUUUUUUAUUAACUUUAUCUUCUGGUUCAAAUAUGAUGCUUAUUGAUGGAAAAUUCAAAACGUUAAGAGUGGUAGGCAUGGUAUUGUAGAUUCUUUUGUAUGCUUAUAGAUUUCUUUCUUAGAUUCCUCUUUUAUCCAAGAAAGCAGUUAUUGUAGAUUCUUUUGUAUGCUUAUAGAUUUAGUACGCACAAAUCUGUGUAAUGUUUAUUGUGUUCUAAGUUUACAAAGCCACAUGCUAAAUUACUCUUCUUUUUCUUUCUUUUUUUAAUUCUUGCUUGUACGAUUGAAGAUCUGUUGAGGUUUAUAAUCGAGCUUGUGACCGUGAUGACUAGAUACAUAUUUUCAAGGUGUUUCUGCAGAGACACUCAUUAACAUGGUAUUUGAAUUUAUUGCUAUAGUUGUGUUGUAUUGAUUUAUACAUUCUCAAUAGUUACAUAUUUUACCCAUUUAGUCGUACAGUCCAUUCCUCUCAAAGGUGCCCUUGCAAUGUUAAUUCAACAAAUUUUAUGAGGCCUCGAUCAACUGAAUAUAGUUAUGGUGUCUGUAAUAUGGUUAUCUUUAAGUCUAAGUGUAUAUGUGGCUUUGUUUUUUUUUCGCUUGGUUGGUGCAACAAAUGCAAAACUAUGAAGCAGUGGUUUUUGCAUAUAUGCUGCAGUAUAGGCUUACACCUUUGCCCAAUGAUGCAGACUCCUGUUCUGGGUAUGCUUUUGAUUUUCAUUAUGAGCAUCUCCACCUCCUAUAUUUCUAUCGUCAAUAGUAGCCAUCUGCUCUUUAUGGUGGUGGUGGUGGUGGUGGUGGUGGUGUUGUCGUUGUUGUUGUUGUUGCUGCUGCUGCUGCUGCUGUCUUAUAAGAUGUGGAGAGAUUGUAAAUGAAAAUCAAAGCUCAACAUCCUUAACUAUAAAUUCAGGAUAUGAUAAGGACUGAGGGCUAUCUUUUGUUUACUUUUACUACCCAAGUGGUGUUGUGUAAAUGAUUGUUUUUACCUACCAUGGGAUAGAGGUUUAGGGCCGAAGGGGUAAAGGAAGACCUAGGAAAAUUUUGGAAGAGACUCUAAGAAAAGACUGUACUUGGAUUUAACGGAGGACAUGACACAGAACUGAGCGCAAUGGUAUUCUAGGAUUCAUAUAGCCGACCCCAUCUAGUGGGACAAGACUCUGUUGUUGUAUUAUAUUGCUAAUGUAUUUUUCUCCAUGUGCACCACACAUUUUCAUGAUUCUUGAUACCUUUAUAUGAGUAAAGCUGUUUUCUGGAAUUGGUGCCGUUAUGAGGGAGGAAUUCGUCAAGAACAUGUUAGUUUUAAAGACUGAUGUCCUUUACAAGAUGCUAUACUUGUCUUGAUCAUACAUGGGUGGCUUUUUAAUGAUGCUUUUAGUCACUCUUUGUUAAUAAGCCCAAUGAUGAAAUCUCAUUUUGUGAAGCAGUGCUUCACUUUAAGCCGCCAUUUACUGUGCCACGCUGAUCAUCGCCAUUUGCCGGCUCCUUCUUCUUCUUCUUCUUCUUCUAUUGUUGUUAUUAUUAUUAUUAUUAUUAUUUCUGGUGAUGAUCCGGUGGUGUUCGUAAAUGGUGACUGGCUUUCAGUGAUUACUGUUUAUGAAGUUUUAGUAGUGGUCUGAGGGCUCAAAAUAUCAUUAGGUUUUAUUAUUCAAUGAAAGGCAAAUGAAUCUCCAGUAUAAUUUAAAUGUGUGGUAAUCUGUUUAUUAAUGAUCUGUUGAUGUAAAUAUUAAUAAUUUAGUUUGAAUACAGAUAGGGACAGAGUUUACUCCAAACUAUUUGCUAAUUCUUGCCUUCCUCUUCCGCAUGCAUUACUAAUCUUCUUUUCUGGGUUCAAGUUUCCUUUUGGCCCUUGAAUUGUAUGUUUUGGAUUUCAGGUUAUUUCGGUUCGAUUUCUUUUAAUAGAAUGUGUGAUUACGGGGCUUGAGAGUUUUCUUUUCUGUUGCGGUUGUGGCUGCAUCGUAUGAGUGAUUACCUCUUUCGUUGGGUGGAGACGGCGACUCUGUUUUCAACCUCUGUUUGGUUUUCACAUUGCAAUGUAAGUGUAUCGUACUGUGAUGGAAUCUCAUAUAUGGUCGGCUUUUCAAUAAGCCCUAUGAUGGAAUCUCAUUUUGUGAAGCAGUGUUUCACUUUAAGCCGCCGUUUAUUGCGCCGGACUGAUCAUCGACAUUUAACUGCGGCUGCUGCUGCUGUUGCUCCUCCUCCUCCUCCUCCUCCUCCUCUUUAUUAUAAAUAAUAUUUCUGGUGAUGAUCUGAUGGUGUCCGUAAAUGUUGCCUGGCCUUUAGUGAUCACUGUUUAUGAAAAUUUUGUUGUUGAUGAGGUCUGAGGGCUCAAAACUUAAUUCGUCUUGGUGUCUGGUGUCUCUUGAUAUGUAUUGGUGUUUUGCAUUGCAAAUUUGCAAUCCAAGUGUAAUUUGAUGCAUCCCGCAUGCUGCUUGAUGGUUUAUGAUCUUUGGUUGUAAUUGUUGUAGUGAAAUGAAAUGAAAUGAAAGCGUGUCCAUAUCAUGCCUUUUGGUUUGAUUUUUCUUUUCCUUUUUGUGCAAAGAACAGCUACUUGUCUUGUUUAUGCCAUUGAUAUUGGGAGAGGAGAGAUUCAAACACGACCUCGAAUGUAGGGUAAACGCUUUUUAGUUUUUUAUUAAGUGUAAUAUUCAUACGAGUGAAAUGUUAAAACUAUUAAAUUGUGUCGUAAUAUUGUGUUUUCUACCUUAAAAGAAAGGGGAAGUUUGAACUAAAUCAAGUGGGUAACCGUUAUAUGAACUGUUUCUAACUUUGUGGUUUAGAAUUAGGGAACUUUAAUUCAAAGUUUCUGAUACUGUUUAUUUUAACGAAAAAUCAUAUUUUUACACUAAAAAGUUAAUAUUGUAUUAUUUACUUUACCUUUUAUUUGUUCUUAUCUUUAAAAUUCAAAGUUUUCAAAUUAUUUUAUUAGUUUUCCUUUAAAAUUAGUGAACUUUAACGAAAAGCACCCGGUAUUGUUCAUUUUAAUGAAAAACCACAUUUUUUCACUAAAAAGUUAAUUCAGGUACUAUUCACUUUACCCUUUAUUUUGUCCUUAUCAUUAAAACUCAAAGUUUUCAAGUUCUUUUCAUUAGUUUUCUUUUAAAAUUAAGAUGGUUAUAAGACUUUUAAUUUUUCUUCCUAUUCCUGCUUUUUCGAUUUCCAAUAGUCGUCCGCAUGUGCGUUAGCGACAGUCAGCUCUUCAUGGUUGGGAGUUCAUGCAGCUAUACAACUGAUAGUCACCCAGGCGCAUGGACAACUACCUUAGGCUGUUCUGAUAUUCUUUUUUCUAUCUUUGAAGUGGAAGUAGGGCAAUGUCAAAGCCGGAAAAGGAUCCUCGUCGGAUUCUUUUCUUGGGGAUCCUAUGAUCGUGGUUGUUUAUCGUAUAUCGUACGGUCAUAAAUCAUUUGAAAUUUAAAAUUAUAUAUAAAUAAUAUCUAACGAAAAUUGACUGCACGAUGUACGAUGAACGUCACAAUCACGGGAUCUUCGAAAUUCCCGGCAUCCGUUUCCGGUGAAAGCCCCCUUACAACUUGGAUCUAGGUAAGAAUGUGUCAAAAGUCAAGAUACCCGGCAUGGUUGACGGAUAGGGGUGAAUCGGCUAUGGCUGCUAUCUGGUUGGGGUUAAGAGAGUGUGCUUGUGUAUUCAGGGCAUGGCUGGCUUUGGGCUUAAGUUAAUAGCAGACUUCAAAUAAGAAAGAGGCCUCUGUCAGGGAGGGGGCAGUUCUCGUGAGAGCAAUUUGUAUGAUACGGAUACAUUACUAUAGUGGUGUCAAAUGCCAACUUGUGCUAUUAGCAUAGCACAUUAACGUGGUGGUGUCUCCAUGUCGUACUUGUCCAUUUCCUAAGGCUCAUUCUCAAUGAAACAGUUACCUUUUACCGUUCCAAAUUAUUAUACUAUGUUACUAUCGACGUUGGGUUCUAAAUUUAUUUUGUUUCCAGAUAAAAUCAGCCUUCUACAUCACUUAGUCCACAAGGAUUUGCAAAGAUUUACAGAGUGGAUAUCAAUCUAGUAGUAUUUUUCUUCUUCAUGCUAUGUAGAGACUUCAAGUUCAGAACGUCUCAUUCACUUAUUUUAAAUUGUCAAUGAUAUUUAUUCUUGACUGUUUAUGUAAAAAUUACUUUUGCUCCUAAACGGGUUUUAAUAAAAUGCUUUAUAAGAAACCUGGCCAAAUUUCUAUUGAAAAUAUGAGUGCUUGAAAAAAGAAGCGUCGACAAAGUGCUUCCCCAAAAACACUAAACUAUUUUUGUCAUUUUGGAAGCAAUCAUGCAACGUAGCCUUAAAUUAUUGAAUCCAAAUGAAUGAUACGUGAAUGACAUCAUCAAGAAUAUAAAUAAUUAAAAGGCAUCAUCAAAUAUUUUAAAAUAAAAAAAAACAAUUUGAAAGAAGAACACUAGCGAGAGUGGUACAAACGUCCGAAAGAGGAUCCUCGCCAGAUCCUCUUUGUGAUGAUUCGGAGAUCUUCCAAUCACAUCUGUUUUUUUGUAUAUCGUGCGAUCAAUUUUCAUUAUGUAUAGUUUAUAUUCAAUUUUAAAUGAAAAAAUUUACAAUGAUUUCUGAUCGCACGAUAUACGAUGAACGAAUGUGAUUGAAAAAUUUUCAGGAUCCUCACAAAGAGGAUUUCUCCACACGUCCCACUCCAUCCAUCAAAUCAUUUAACAAAUUGACCAAUUCCAAAGAGAAUCAAAAGCUCAUGUUCCUCUCGAACCUCUCUUCAACUGGAAAACUACAUUUACUUGUGGUCCAAGAAACAACCAACCCAUAUAUAAUAUAUGAAUGAAAAUGAAAGCUACAAUUUGUUUAUCUUUGUUACCUUUUUCCCCUUCUUUAACAUGUGCUUAAUUGUUUGAAGUGAUCAAACUUAAUUAUAAUAUUUGAUUGAGUGAAUGAUGGGUUUCUUUCUUUGUUUAGAAAUAGACACAAACAGAAGCUAACUGCGUUUCACAUUUUACAUUUUUGAUGUGAUUUUUCUAAAUAUUGAAACUGUAUUAAUUUAUUUCUACAGUUUAAUAAUAAUAUUUGAUUUUUUAUUAAAUUAAUGAUAUAAUAAGCACGCUACUGAUUGAAUUCAUAUUUAAAUCACAUUUGUAACACACUGAUAAAGAAAUCAUCAAUAUAAUGAAAUAAUACACACUUAUUCAGAUAUAAAGUAUAAAUGAAUAUAAUAUCAAAUAUAAUGCAAGAAAAUUGAAACUUAAACGCCUCACGUUUAAAAAGUAAAAAUUGUAAUUAGCCUAAAAAGAAAAAAAAAAUAGUAAAUAUUGAUUUCUUGAUAGGAAAAGGAUCCACGUUGGAUCAUUUUUUUAGGAAUCCCGUGAUCGUAAUUGUUCAUCGUAUAUCGUGCGAUCAUAAAUUAUUUUAAAAUUUAUAAUUUAUAAUUAAAUAUAAAUAGUAUUUAAUAAAAACUAAUUGCACGAUAUACGAUGAACAGUCAUGAUGAUAAAAUUUCUAAGAUCGUUAAGAAAAGGAUUCGGUGAGGAUCCUUUUUCUUCUUGAUACAUUAGGGCACAGACAUAUCCCAGAUUUGUUGUAAAAAUGUGAGGUGUGUAAAGAGCCAAAGCAUGCAUAUAUGUAUAUUAUAUUCUGGACUGGGGGGACAACAUGGUGUUUCGCAAUUUAAUGAGACGGACCGGUAACUUGUGGCUGCGUAUGAUCAUAGGUCCACCACACCACGUACACACCUAUAGAAGGUUUUCAAGGGAAUAGAUCUCUAAUUCUUUAUUUAAAAUAAAAAUUAGUUAUGUGAUCCAUAUUACUUUAAACUUCAAUAAUCUAAGUUCAUUUUUUAAGUUGGAUCUCAUAAAUCAUUCUUACAAAAUAUUAGUCAAAUAAUUUUUUUUAAGAUAUAUAAUUGAGUUCAAAGAAAUUGACGAAUACAUUGUUUUAUGAGAAACAAGGAAUUUCAUAAUGAUAAUUAAAUAGUUAAAUGAUUUCGAAUUAAAUUGAAUUUUUGCAAGAAUAAUCUAUGAAUCAAGACUUACAAAAUAGACGGUUUGGAUUGUUGAAGUUCGAUGUGAAAUAUGCCUUAUUAUUAAUACCCAUUUUUACCUAAAAAUGGAAAUUCCUUUGAAUAAAGGGGCUGCAUACAUAUAUUAUGAGGAAUUACAUCAAUAACCACAACUCGAUGAAAAUGCAAUAGAAUUUCGAGUGAAGUUUGCUUUUUUGUCACAGCCCUUCCCGAAAUAUUGGAAUAUUCAUUCUCGAGGACGUGAAUUGAUGGUUUUUCCUUUGGACAGGUUGAGUUAUUUGGUGUUGUGGUGUGUAUGUGAUGGGAACUAAGUGAUUAUAAUUGAACUGAUCCCUAAGUUUUGGACCUAAGUGAACUAAAAAGGGAUUUGGUUUUGUUUUGGUUGAUUGGUGACUUUUGGACCACACACAUUACACCCCACUUUCUCUCUCUCUCUCUCUCUCACCCUCCCGUACUCUCUCUCAGAUUCACACACACUCUCUCUUGUACGAACGAGACCUAAAACCCUUGUAAACGUGAUGGAUCGAGGUGGAGAAGGGAACCAUUGUGUUCGUGAGGACCAUACGAGUUCAAAGGUACCAUUUUUAGGUAAGGAAACCUUCGAUUUCACGUGGAAACCCUAUCUCCGAUUUGAACACUGUUCAUGCAAACGUUAAAUCUUGUGUUUUUGGAAAUUUCAAGCUCACAGAGAGCUUAAGAAGAUCCUUAUGAGGCUCGGAGUACUUUGUUGGAGGUUUUUGGACGUCGGGAUAUCGAGAUAUGCAAGUUUAAAGUUUUGGCCAGAAGUUCGGGGAUUCUUAGGCGAGAUCCAAUGGUUUUGGGAGCUUGAAAUUGGUAUGAUUUUAUUCUAAAUGUUGUAAGCUUCGUUUGGGUACAAAUUUCAUUAAAUUUGGUUGAGAAACGACGAAGAUAUAAGGAUUUGAAAAAUUCCCAGUUUUCCGGUGACAGUGACGGUCGCUGGAGUCUGAGGUUGAAGACGACGGAAUAUUCCGUCAAUUCUGACGGAAUAUUCUAACACCCUCAGUUAAGUUUAACGGAAUCUGUUAGGAUUUAACGGAAUAUUCCCUAAUUGUCGUUACAGUUUCCGUCAGAGUACCCUGCGCGUGGCCGCGCGUCUUGCCGUGCACUCGUUGGUGCGUGGCGGCGCGUGGGUGGAUGAAAAAUUAUUUUAAAAAUAUGGGGACGAUCCUGAGAUUGUGUAAGUCAUUUUGGUAUAUUCAUAUACCCAAUUUGAGAUAUGUAUGAAAAGUUAUUACAUAGUUUGGUAUAUGUGCAUUAAAGUGACGUUUAUAUAAUUGCUUCUCCUAUAGGCGAGACCUAUCUGAAGGACGAGCGUAGCCAGGCUAGGCAUGGGGGUUACGACCCGGCUUCAUUUCAGUGAGUGGGCAGUUAUUUUCAGUAUAUAUAUAUACACACACCUGACGUUUUUCCCAGAAAAAGUAUUUAAAGGAAAUGUGAUUUAAAUGCCAUGCUAUGCCAAUGCCUAUAUUUUAUUUUAGUAUAUGCAUUAUCAUAAUUAUGCAUAUUGUCGCAUGGUGCUGUGAAGGCCCAGGUAAGCUCAGGUGAGUUAUGUUGAUUAUAUGAAUUAUCAAUAAUGUGAUAUGUGAUUGAAUAAUGUUGAGCUCAUAAAACUGCAUCUAGGGUGAUUGUGUUUUAGCCAGAGAUAUGAUACAUGCCUGUUUAUUAUGUCACCUCCCGCACCAUAUGCUCAUUUUGGAUCCAAUUUAGGUGCACAGUCUUGUCGUACAGACCUUAUUUAUGGUUCCGACUCAUAGGUGACUAGCGAUUAAUCGCUCGGCUAUUAUGUGAGAGUAGUAUUGAGCAUAAUUAUAUUACACCCAUUAUCGUCGUACAAACCUUUGGAUUUGGUUCCGACUCUUGUGCAGUAUAUUGCCGUAUAGAUCAUUGUAGUGACUCCGGCUAGAUUGACUUUUGAGCUAUGAAUUCAGCCGUUCAGACUACCACAGGGGUUUCGGCUAACAUAUCAUAUUUCUAUGAAAUCAUUCUUACCUGGAUCGUUACUUUGUUAUAUUUUGGCAUGGCAUACAUAUGAAUAUGAUUAUGUGAAGCAUGAUUGAAAUGAUAUAAUCACACACAUAUAUUUAUGUAUAUUCUUAUAUAUUAAUUUUGGGAAAAAUUAUACUUGUUUUACGGCGAUGGGUUAGUAUAUUCAAAGGAAAAUAAGGUUUUCAUGUAAAUGUGUUUUACUGACCCACUCAACUUUGUUUUUCGCCCCUUCAGGUUUUAGUUAGCAGAGUUUGGUGGCCACGAGGAAUUCAACGGUGUUCUGACAGAUCCCGAAAAAGUAGGAUUCACCAUCUGGUGUUGUAUCUUAGUAAUUGUCCGACUUGACUGCAACUAGACUUUCUUAUUGCUUUGAAAGUGUAUUUAUACACUUAAACUCUCACUAAUAUCCUUUCUUAAUUGGGAUUGUAAUCGCUUGGUUUUAAAUUGUUAGUAUUUCUCUUACUCUUUAUCACUUCCGCUUUGCGCUUAUGGCUGCGUCACUCUCACGUGACGGCCAGCACGUCUCAACUCCGGUUGGGGUGUGUCAUUUUUGAUAUUGAGUUUGAGGGUGAUAGUGACCAAUACUUGAUGGAAGCCAUGUUUUCAUGACCUUCUAUUAAGGUUAGAGAUAAAGUAAGUACUAGUUAAUUUAACAAAAAUUUAGUUGAGGCUUAACAAAUCAGACAAUUUCAAUAGGUUGGGUGUUUGUUUGGAAUGUUUAAAAAGAUUGAGACCAAUUUAGAAUGAAACUAAAAAGUUGAGGAUUUAUCCUUUAUAUUAUCAUGAAAGCUGAAAUUGUUAUUGUUGAUCAAUGUAUAGCAAUCAUAUAAAAUGUAAACUAAUGUACAAACUACAGUGCUUGGUUUGGGACUAUUUUUUAAUUUAUUUAUUUUAUCAAUUGUAAAAUGGGAUUUUAACUUGGGACUUCUUUUAAUACUAGUUUUGCCACUUAAUAUUACAAUCUAAUAAUAUUCAUCUUCAUUUGUAAGUAAUAAGUUUUUGGUUCAAUUAUCACCAAAAGCGAAUUUGAACCAUAUUAUUGCUAUUCCAUUAUGAGGCUUAGUCCACUCUUCCACUCCCUUAGUGUAGUAAAUAUUGUUCGCUAAAAAUAAAAAAAUACUAGCUCUUAAGUCUUGUUUAAGUUAUAUAUCAUAAUAAAAGUGAUUGAAAAUGUUCAUUUCAAGUAUCUCAUCAAUUUUUAUUAUAACACUUAAUGUACCGAAUUAUGUUUUCAGUACAUUGAAAAAUCUUUCCAAAACUAGAACCAAAAGCACCAAUAAAGUAAACAUAUAUACUUAACUUUUAAAGGUUUCUUUUGUUUUUGUUUUUUUAUAAUAUUUAUAUCCAAACGUGGUCUUUUUCCUCUUAAAUAUGUUUUGAAUCCUUGUUCUUGAAGUUUGGAAGCUGUUAGAAGUGGGCAAUUAGCAAUUUAGUAUUAGUUAAUUUGGAAUAUGCAUGGCUGGCUUUUUCUUGGGGAUGAGUAAAAUGGGCAUGUCUUUUAUGAUGAACUCCAUCCACGGCGUUUCUAAUUGUAUCAUGUGAAGAAUAAAAGUGAAAUAUUCCAAGAACCAGUUGGGAUGCUUUUAACUUUUCUUUCUUUAAUUUAAAAGAAUUUUGAGAUUCGAAAUUAAACUUUUUUCAGAAAUAAAUGGUACAAUAUUAUUCCACGUUUCAGUUCGAGCAGAUACAAAUGAAAGGUUUGGAGUUACUUGGACAUGAAGCAUCCACUUCUCUCGAAAAAGUAGACAAACAUACUAUUAAGCUCUUGUCCUUUUUAUCUUUUUUCUGAAACAAAGUGAUAUAUUUCCAACACCAACGUGGGGAUAAAAAGGACCAAGUCAUCGAGAAAAAAUAAUUGACAUGACUGCGAAUAUGGCUAAAGCAAGGGUUAGGAAAUGCCUAUCAAACAUGACGGUUUGGUUAGGUUUGGUGCGGUUUUCUUACACUUUAGUGAAGAAAACCAAACUAAAGCAGUUAAAUUAGUUUCAAAUCCAUUCAUGAGGAGAAACUUUAGAAAACCUAGAUGAAUGAUACCAUAUAAAAAUAUGACUCCUUAUAUUGAUUUGUGCAAGCUAUAUUUAGGUAAGAAUCCUCACUUACUAUAAUAAGGAAUUACAUUCCUAUAAUUCAUAGGAUACUCACAAAGAUAUUCCAAAUUAACUCAAUGAUUCAAUGAAAUAUCUUGGAUCUAUGUUAAAUUAGUGGAUAAAUGUAUCACUCAAAUGAAUUUAGUUUUAUGAUGUCAAUUAGGAUAGUCCUUGAAACAAUAAGGAAUUACAUUCCUAUAAUUCAUAAGAUACUCACAGAGAUGAUUCCGAAUUAACUAAGUAUACUCUAAGAGCAAGUCCACCGGGACUUGCUUUGCCCAGCCCCCAGCACAAAAAACAGCCUGGCCCUCAGUGAAAUUGCUCUAGCCCACAAAGUUGCCUGGCACCCAGCCCAUGCCAGGCAACAGCCCAGCCCAAUUUUGACAGACCAAGAAGUUGGCCUAUUUGGCUGGCGCGUGCAUGACAAGUGCGCCUGGGCGCGAGUAGCCGACAGGCUGCAGAGGGGCUGUCAGCCCACUUGUGUUCCGGAUCCCAUCGGCGACGUGGCAUGCUCAUAGCCGUUGGAUUUCCAACGGCUAGUUUUUCUAGACCGUUGGAUUUCCAACGGUAACAAAAAUUUAAAUUUUACUUUUAAAAUAGACCGUCCGAUCACAGAUCAACGGUCUACGUUAAUUAACUAAAUUAAAAUUUAUUAAAAAAUACAGAAAAAAUAUUAAAAAAUACAGAAAAUUUUAAAAAAUUUAUUUAUUUUUUCUAUAAAUACCUAACUCUCAUCUUCCACCUUACACCACAUUUCAAUAUUUUCUACACUUUCUACCAAAGCUUUCAUAUACUUUUUGUGUGAAAAAAAAAAUACCAAAAAGCUUGUGGUUGAAGAAUAAAGUGUAUUUGAUGAGUUUAUGUAAUUUCAUUUUAGUGUGUUUUUUUUAUAGUUUAUUUGAUGAGUAUGUAAUUUUAUUUUAGUGUGUAUUUUUUUUUAAGUUUAUUUGAAAUUUUAUCUGAAAUUGGUUAAAAAUCUUAUCCAAAAUAAACUUAAAAAAAAAAACACACCAAAUAAAUGCACUGGGUGCCAGCGCAUUUUUUUAGGGGUGGAGAUGCCUUGGCCUAUUACUGUUCACUCCAGCCUAUUACUGUUCAUUUGAGUGGAUAAAUGCGCUGGGUGCUGGCGCAAAGUCCUUAGGGGUGGAAUUGCUCUAAUAAUUACCUAUUAUUUAUUUGACAAAAGGUAUGUAGAAUUUCAAGUGGUAAUUGCACAAAACUUGAAAAGUUCAGUUACCAUAUUUAAUUAGUUUUGUAUUUUAUUUUUUAUUGGCACUUUCAAUGCUUAUUAGCAAAUUGAUGUUAUUAUUAGUUAAAGUGUCUUUUGAAGAUCUGGUUAAAUCUCACUUUGUCUUCUAAAAAUUAAAGCGACCUACAUUAUUCUUUCACUGAUAUUUUGUGUCCUACUUUGCACUCUACAGGUAAAUCUGUUAAAAAUCCUUGUUAAAAUAUUGGCGUGACACAAACGGAAUUCAUUAUUCGUUGAAUAUUUGUAAGGUGGGUGCCAUGCAUGCAUGAAAAAGUAAUAAUAAAAACAUUUUUCAAAAAGAAGUUGUUGAAUACUUCACCAUAUUGAUGUGCACGUUAUUUUGUUGUUAUGGCAAACAAGAUUGAAUUAGAAUUAUAGAGGGUUUGACUUCAACUGUCAUUGUCCAAACACAAAGGAAGAAAAUAAUAGAAAAUUAGUAGGAAGAGAAAAAUAAAUUGAAAUAUCUCAAGUGCCAUGCUAGCUUAUCUGUUUCCAAUCUCCAAUACGUAAUAAAAAACAAAAACAACUGUUAUUAACAUUUUAAAAUUUUAUAUUUUGUACUUUUUCGAGUGCAUUAUUUACUCUAAAUAUAGAAAAUUUGGAGUGUAAAUUAAAAUUUUUAGAGUGCUAAUAACAAUUUUCAAAACAAAAAUGGGAUAUUUGUCUGUAAGAGCUCGUUUGUAAGUGUUUUAGUAAAAAUAUUUUUAAAUCAAUUCAUAGUAAAAAUUCAAGUGGAUCAUAGUACAACACUUUAAGUGCUUCUUGCAAGAAGCACAUAUAUGUUGCUUCUUCCAAAAAACACUUAAAGUGCUUUUGAAAUCAGAAAAUCAAUUUCAUAAAAAGUGAUUUCAGUUAAUUUAAAGGGUAAUAAUAGGGAGACCAAAAUUUUAAACUAAAUUGCAAAUAAAAUGAUGUGUCAUCAACAGCAAAUAAGCACAUUAAUCAAUAUUUAAAUAAUAAUCUGAUCAUUAAUCAACACACUAUUUGAUUUGUAAAUUUAAUUUUAAUAAUUUGAUCUUUCCAACAUUAUCCUAAUUCAAAAAUACUUCUACACGAGCUUUAAAUGUUUGUGUACUAAUCGACGAGUUUCUUAUCAAUAAUACAACUAUUAUACAAAACUAAGUAAAUAGAUUUUCUCUGUCUCUCAUCAAUAAUUUUCCCAUCACUUUGGAAAAUUACGUUCUUAAUCAUCGAGGUGAUCCUGUGAUCACCUCGUCCUCAGCGGAUGGUGAGCAACAACCCACACGUGAACUGGUUUUCUUAAUCAAGAUGCCUAAAAGUGAGGGAUUCUCUUAUAAAAAUUCUGGUAAAUUGCUGUCCUUAUCUUCAGAUAACAAUGAAGAGAAAUGAAUGGGUUCGAAUUAUGAAAGUUCAUACAAUGAAAUGAUGUUGUGACAUCAUAUAAUGAGAAAUAAUUCCUUACAUGCAAGAAACCAAAUAAUGUUCUUAACAAAAAGCAUGCUCAAAUUUCAAACUCUCUUUUCUUCCUUGUACCACAUUGAAGUUGGGGCAAGGCCCUUCAGAGGCUCAGUCUUUGUUAUUAUUAUCCUUAUGUACACAUUUUCUCAUGUUAUCCAUCUAAAAUUUUUUUGCUCGAAUGAGAUUAUCGAUGAACUGUAUUUUUGUUUGAAAUUAGCUGAUGUAAUUUAUCAUUUACUUAGCUCGCAUGAGGUAUUAAUAGAGAGUGUGUGAGAGGUACAAAGUUGUGUAUGAAUACUUGUACCCUAAUUUUAUUGGAACACUCUUUUUUGGCUUAUUUUUAGCUAAGCUCUCUGAAACUCCAUUUUAUUUCUACUUUGCUAUCUGUAACUCAAAAGUUAUUACUUUACUUCUUGAAAUUCAAAAUUCAUUUCACUUUGACUUGUGAACUCCAUCUUCUCGUUGAAACUUAUAGGUCGUCUUCUGAAACAUAUGUGAGACCCAACACACAAUAAGACUAUGCCACAUAUGCAAUAAAUUUGAUUAUAAAUCUCCAUCGUUAACAUUCAACAAUAAGAGAAUAUUAAGUUUAAAAGAAGUUGAAGAGAUGAAAAAAAAAAUUAAAAAAAAAUAGAUUAGCCUGGUGCACUGAAAAUCAAUACCACAUAAGAAAUUAACAGAUCUAGGGCAACGUGGAGCAAAUUUUACGACUUUCAAGCUUUAAAGGGCAAAAUGAAAUAAAAAUCGAGUUCCAGAAGGCAAAGUGAAGCGACCUAUGUGUUUCAGAAAGUAAAGUGGAAAUUUUUGCGUUACAUGAAAGUGCCGCCUAAGUCUUUUUACAGCGACCCACUCUUUAAGUUCACUUUCCUCCUAUCCUCAAACAAACAAGUAGUAGGAGUUACUAUCUCAAAGAAACGAACAUAUGUGUAUCUUAAACUCGUGCUUUUCGUAUAAAAGAAGAAACCCAAGUCUAAAUUCGUGUUUUAUUUUGGUUGAAAAACUUAAAACUAAAGUUGGAAAGUUAAAAGAAAAUAGAAUCGAGGGCAGUGAGCCACAUGUAGAAUGGAGUUGACGUUUACUUCUACCAACCAGGGGCAGCUCCGUCAAUUUUGCUAAAUUAAAAUGACAGACGUCAUCCCGUCGUCUUCUCCGUUGGGGCCCACUCAUCCCUCGGCCCCGCCCUCGCUCACCCUCAACUUUCUAGAAGGACCAAGUCAGCAGGUUAAAUCCAUCUACCUCUCCAAUUUACGCGCCAACAAAGACCCAGCUGUACCGUCCACCUGUACACCCCUUCCGCUGAACGAGUCCGUCCUCGUCCCCCAAGUGGCACCGCGCCCCCACCCUCGGCGAACUGUAACAAACCCCCCUCUAACCCCAAAACCAAUGGCCCAGAUGCAACUUGUUCUCUCAGAUAUCCGCAAUUAAAUCUUAAAUAAAUUAAAAUGUUAAUAAAAUAUGUUUAAAAAGCGUUUGGAGCUCCCAAAUUAAUCCAUCGUGUCCGCUCCGUGUAAGCUUCGCUUUCCCCGGAGCAAACAAGAAAAGUUAAUUAGUACAAAGUAAAGUAAUUAAGAGAGUGAUUAAGUUUUUCUAAUUAUGGUAAAACUCUAAUCUCACCCCCUUCCCCUCCAUAAAACGCAGACCCUCUCUCUCCCUUCUGUCCCUCUUACUCUCUCACCUCUCUCUCUCCUCCCAACACACUCCUUCUCUCUCUAGUCGUUUAUAAUCUUAUCAAAUGGUUUGAAUUUGGAUUGGAUUGUGUGAGAAAUGCCAGCGACGGAAUACUCGUCAGCUGGUUCCAACCAAAUCGGACGGUCAAUCUUCGGCCUCAGACGCGAUCAGUUGAAUUCAAUGGAAACCCACGGCCUUUCAGGUGGUGGUGGCGGUGGUAGUGGUGGAUUGAACCUCGAUUCCUUCCAAACCCACGUCGCCGAUUGCUUCCUCCAACUCUCCUCCUCCCACGACCUCCUCUCCCUCCCAUGGCUCCGAGACCUCCUCGACUCCUUCCUCCGCAUACACCAGGAGUUCAAAACCCUCCUCAUCCUCUCCACCAAAACCCACAUCUCCAAACCCACCGUUGACCGCUACAUCUCCGACUACUUCGAGCGCAGCGUCAAAGCCCUAGACGUCUGCAACGCCAUCCGCGACGGAAUCGAGGAGAUGCGCCAGUGGCUCAAGCUGCUCGACAUCGUCCUCGUCGCGCUUGACCGCGACAGGACACUCGGCGAGGGCCAAUUUCGCCGCGCGAAGAAGGCUCUCGUCGACCUGGCCAUCGCAAUGCUCGACGACAAGGACUCCUCCAACACCACCAUAGCCCACCGGAACCGCUCCUUCGGCCGAAACAACAACACAAAGGAUCAUCACCAGCAGCAGCACCGGUCGCUCGGCCACUUCCGAUCUCUGUCCUGGAGCGUCUCGCGGUCGUGGUCGGCCGCGAGGCAGCUGCAGGCAAUCGGGAACAAUCUAUACGCCCCUAGGCCCAAUGAAAUUGUGGCCUCCAGCGGGCUCGCGCCGGCGGUUUUCACAAUCAAUUCGGUUUUGCUGUUCGUAAUGUGGGCCCUGGUGGCGGCGAUCCCCUGCCAGGACAGGGGACUGCAGGUGCAUUUCAACGUGCCGAGAAGCUUCGUGUGGGCGGGGUCAAUGCUGUCUCUGCACGAUCGGAUUAUGGACGAGUCGAAGCGGCGGGACCGGAGAAAUGCCUGCGCAUUGUUGAAGGAGAUUCAUCAGAUCGAAAGGUGCUCGCGGGUGAUCGGCGAUCUGGCAGACUCGGCGCACUUCCCGCUUGCGGAGGCGAAGGAGAAGGAGGUGAGGGAGAGAGUGCAGCAACUGUCGAGUCUCUGCGAGGGGAUAAAGGAGGGGUUGGAUCCUCUGGAGCGGCAGGUGAGGGAGGUGUUCCAUGCCAUUGUAAAAAGCCGAACGGAGGGGAUGGACUCGUACUGAAGAACUAAUAACCCCGAAUGAUCAUCGAAAUCAAUUGCCAAUUGAAGAAGAAGAAGACGAUGAGAUCAAUUUUGGCGCCAAUAAAAAUUGGGUAAGGAGGAGAUAUGACUUUUUUUCUUUCUUUGUAUUUAAUCAUCACUGAAUGGAUCAGCAGAUCACCAUAUAUAUUGUGUAUAGAAAUUAGGGUUUAUGCAAAUGGACCAACUUCUCCCUUUAAUUUGUGUUGUUGCUGAUUUAAUUUACCUUUGUAUAAUGGAAUUUCUGAGCAUGCUUCUGGCUGCUGCUCUUUCUCAUUUUUGUUCAGUUGUUACAUAAUCUUUCUUCUGUUCUCUGCUACUUACCGAUUACGAGAUACCAUUUGAGGAAUUCGAAUUUGUUUGUGGGUCGGAGAGAGAGAGAUUUGAGCCGUAUUCUAAUCUAAUCUGAACUACGGGGAAGAGAAUUCAAACAUAAGGGGGCAAUAUGCUGCCCUGGCUAGCUUGGCCACGCCUACGAAAUCAUUUGGAUUCUAGUUUAUUUGGGUUGAGUGUGUCUCAUUUUCCACCUCGUCGUUCCCAGUGCACAAGGCUCUCGCUUUACGCAGGGUCUGGGAGAGGUGAAUGUCGGCUAGCCUUACCCCCAUUUUAUGGAGAGACUGCUCCCAAGUCUCAUUUUCCACCUCAAUGUCGGAAAAUGACUCCAUCUCUCUUUUGUCCAGAAAACUGUACAGCGGAUUAAUGAUAGCAAAUUAUAUUUUGAUUGUUAAUGCAUGGUGAAUAGACAGAAGAAAUAAGGCAAAUCUGCUGUUCGAUUGUGGUUGGAAUUUUCUGCUUGCAAUAUUUCAAUAUGCAGCUUCAAGCACAGAAGGAAACUCCAAGUUACUCCAGAUGAAAAGGGCUGAUGUCGAUUCUGCUGACUUCCAUAUGCAGUAAGGUUAGGCUUUUAUGUAUUUCUGACUAUUUCUGGUGAACCUGAGAUUGAUUGGUGUUGGGUUAUUUAUGCAUAUGUUCCCACUCUUAUUGCAGGAUUUUGACUGUGAUUUGGUCGUGCGAAGACGCCUGUAAAGUUCAUCUGUUCUGAUCCUUGUGUAGGGUUUGAUUUUGUCAAUUCUCUUGGUUGAGUUCCAACUCUUGCCCAAGAAGAUGUUACCCUGAUUGCUUCGAUCUCAUUUUGUUUCCCUCUAAUGGAAAGAAAGGUAUGUAUCCAAAGUUUCUCGACCUUGUUUCGUUACAACAUCUGUUCACAUGAAAGUCAGAAGUUUAUUUCAUCUCAACUGAGUCCUCUGUUUUGAAGGUUACUUUUCUCUCUUUCAUUGUUUCCGUUCUUACCGUCUUCCUCUCCGCAAAGCUUGCCUUAUCUGUCUCUCCAUUGUUUUGAAAAUAGUCGGUCCAAAAGACUAGUUUUCCUACUGAUGUUACUUGGUGUACAGGGUUCGAUUUGAUCUCCACCUAAGGUUGUUAAGUACAGAGUGGUCUAGCUAAAUGCCUGCUUCAACACAUUGAAUCGGUCCCAUCCUGUGGCGGUUCAUCAGGAUAGCAGGUACUACUACUGAUAACUUGGACAGCAUGUUAUCAGUCGCCUGUACAUGCGAGAGCUUUUCCUAACCGUUAAUGGAUCAACGCUCAGGAUUCGCUCACGCAUGAGUGGGCGACUGAACAUAUUUUGACUUGCACUAGAUAGACUUAACCAAUCUUGUGCAUCGAAUGGAGCCGCUUGGAAUCGGUCUUUGUGAAGAUUUCCUCUAGCUGUUUAGAAAAAUAGGUUUUGGGUCAUCCUGUCACCGACUUAUCCUGAAUUCGGAGGGGGAGGAAUAAUAAUGCAGUUGGUAGACUGUAAACAUCACGACGACUGCUGAGAGCAGUUUAGCCUCUUAUCUUGCGCACCAACCUCGUCGAAACGAGAGGCUGCCAGAGGAAAGCAGUGGACCCUACAAAAACAAGAGUCUUAGAACUUCAGUGCCACCGAUUUUGUGUUAAGUCUUUCGAGUUGAUUCUAACAACAUCAAAAUUUUAUCUUACUAAAGGAAAACGAUUGUAUAAUCUUAGAACAACAAUGCAAUCGAUUUUGCGUGAAAUCUUUCAACUGGACCCUAAUUUUCUAAAUUAAGAAUUUGUAAGAGUAGUUAUCAAUGAGCUGUUGUUAAAUGUAGGGUUUAAAUGCUAAAAGCAAGUUUUUGUCUUUUGCCUUGGUUGUAUUGAUUGAUGGAGCUGAUGUGGCAUGUAUUGGGAAGGUGGGUUCAUGAAUUUAUGAUGCAGAUUGGAGAUUGGAUUGGAUUGGAGUUAUGGGAAUGCAUCCUACUUGGGUUCCUUGCUAGCUGUUGAGCCAUAAAUACCAAUAGCCUCUUUUGCCCUUAAUUGUUUGCAACUAAGAUCAUCUUCAAUCUACUCAAAAUUCAAAUCUUAUAUUUAAGGUCAUCUUCAACCGAAGGCUAGCAAAAUGAUUCGUUUUAGCCCUCUGGUCUUUUAAGAUAUUAAUAUUUUAAUAAACAAUACAUGGUCAUAUUUGCCUCCAUCUUCCACCGAGGGUCAAAUAUAAUUUAUUAUUUAAAUUUAAAAACCACAACAACUUAAAUUUAAAAACUACAACAACUUAAAUUUAAAAAACUACAACAUAUGUUUAAAAACUAUAACUUAAAUUUAAAAACUACAAAUUAAAUUAAAAUUUUGUAAAAUAGAAGUUAUAGAAAAAAAAUAGAAUUUAAAAAUAGAAGUUAUAGGAAAAAAAUUUGUAAAAAUAAAAAAUAAAAAUGGCUAGCUGACGUGAGCUAGCCGUUGCAUUUGAAAAUUUGGCCUAGCAUUCUUGUCGGAUAUAACCGACAAAAAUAUAUUAUAUUGCUAUCGGUUAUAUCCGAUAGGAAUGCUCAGAUUUCUGGUCCAGCCCGGGUUUGGCUGGAUUGGGCUAGCCUUUUGGCCCUUUCAGAUUAUGUGGGGCCCACGAGUCCUCUGGCCUAGUCCUCGGUCGGAGACGGUUUUCGGGCUAUUUUUGGCCAUCUGGCCCUCUGAACCUUUCAGUUGGAGAUGGCCUAAGUUGACUAGUAAUAUGACCGGAAACUUGAAAUUUAUUAUGGUUCGUUCAUUAUGUGGCUACUUGACAAAUGAUUUUAUUUAGCAAGUGGCUUGUAGCUCAGUUGGUUAAAAAUAUUUAUUUUUGUAAUGGAAGUCUUAUGUUCGAAUCUCUCUUUCCGUAAUGUGAAGUAGAUUAUCUUAUCGUUUGUAAAAAAAAAAAAAGGAAAAAAAGACAAACGACUUUAUUUAAUUACAACAACAAUAUAUUUGUGCUAAGGUACACAAUUGAUGGACCAUAAUAGUUUGGUUGGCAACUUGCCAUCCACAAAAAUCGAUCAUAAAACAUUCUACUUAUAAGUAAAAAUAAAUAUUACUAGACCGUAUAAUUUUAAAUUUUUUUUAAAGUUGAAAGUGGUAUCAAAGGACUAAAAAUUUUAGUUUUUAAGAAUUGAGUUAAAUGUUUCGAUUUUAUGAAUCAAUGAAUAUCGAACUUUCUCCGCAAAGACUUUAUAGCGUAAAUGUACACAAAAGAUCUUUGCCUCUUCCCCAUAAACUUGAUUUCCCAAUCUUUAUGCAAAUUUGUAAGCCAAAAUAAGUAAAAAAUUGAAUAUCAAUUAUAACAGAGGAAGUGAGAGUCGGAGGUCUCUUAACUCUACACACAGAUUAGAAGCUAUAUUUUUCUGGUUCUAAUCCUGCUGAUUGCUAGCACCAGCAGGGACACAAUAAGGGCUGAACCUGCAAUGAUAAAAGGAGAGCACAGCAGAUUAGACUUUUCCAAACCAUCCUUCUUCCCCAUAUCCUCACUUGAUUCCUCAUCAGCCACAUCACCUUGUUCCUCCGUUUCGGAAGAUUCAUCCUCUUCCUUCUCUUCAUUUUGUUCUUCAUUCUUUGAUACUUCUUCGAUUUUGUUUUCGUGACCUUUUUCGAUGGGUUCUUGCUUUGGUAGCUGCUGAACAAUAUCACCUUCUUUACGAACUCCGUCCGUAUUCUUUUCGUGUCCGACUUGUGCUUCUUCUUGUGUUGCUCUUCUGUCUUGUGCAAGUUUUGAUGAUUUGCCGCUCUCUGGUCUACUUCUAACGUGUUCCUCAAUCCCCGCCUUUGGUGUUUCUAUUUCGGGCUCUGCAGUAGAGUAUUCUUCAGCUGUUUCAUGCUUAGCAAUUGCCUGAGCUUCUUGUAAUGACCUUGUAACUUCAUGAGUUACUUCACUGGUUUUAUCCACAUUCACUGGCUCUUCAGCAUCCUUGCUGAUCCUUGGAGCCUUGUCCGCUACAAUUUGGUCUCUUCCGAGUUCCUUUCUUUCAACUUUCUCUUUCUCAACUCCAUCAGCUUCUUUAACCUUUGCAACUUUUAGCUCUUCACUGUGUUCCGAAACAGAUUUUGUUUGGUGUUGCAUACUUUGAGUCUUUGAAUCUUUAGCUUCUUCCUGCACUACGCCUCUGCUCGCAUCCUUUUCGAUAGCUCCAUCAGCUACAAUUUCUUUCUUGGAGCCCUCUUCAUCAACCCCUUUCGCAUCUGUUCGAUGAUUUUCUUCUACUUUCUUUUUCUCAAGCUCACCAAAUUGGUCCUCAAUUUUCCCCCUAAAACCAUAUUUUUCAGAGACUUCUCCAGCCGCAGGAGGUUUUGUGAGCUGCUGUCUCCCUAUAUCCACUUCAUCUUCUUUCACUUCCUCGAUCUCAACCCCGCGAAUUCCUUUCACCGAUUUUGGCAUGACGAUCGUGAGAGUUGAUUCGUGUGCAUUAAACUUGGCCUUGAUUCGAUCCAAAACCACUCUAUCCGGAAUUCGAAAGACUUUUCGGAAACCCCUCAUCUCCACCUCUUUCUUGUACAUUAUCCAUCCUGACAUAACCUUCUCUUGAACUGGCUUCUCCCCACUGAUUCCAAUCUGAGUCCCAUCUUCGUUUAUGUCGAUAUGUACACGCUCUCUUCUAUAACCUGCAAAAAUUAAUUUCUUAAAUAAAAACACACAUGUGAAUACUACGAGAGCGCUCACAUUAAGAUAAAAUGAAAAGAUACCGACCUUUGAGAUGGGCAGUGAGGAUGAACAUGGUUUCGGUUUCCUUAGACACGAAAAUAGGACCGGAUUUGUCCUUGGCAAUCCGAAGGUUGGCAGACGAAACAUGAUCGUCUACGCUGUGGGUGAUCUUGAGUCCUAAUUCUAGAUCCAUUGGUGGUUUUUCGUGUUAGAUAUCAAUUUCGGAAACUCAAAUUUUUAUUUCAUAAAAAGGGGUAGAAGAAUGUGGUUAUUGAAUUGAGGGAAAUGUUAGGUGAGCAUAUGAACAAAGUAAGCACAUAUUCAUUGCUUGUUAAUUAGGGCUGCUGCAACUGUUUAAAUCCUUUGCUUUCAUGAUAUUAUUGUUUGCCUUGGCGGGAAAGCUAACCUCUGUUUUUCAUACCAAAAACAUGCAAAUGUCCCUUGGGUUACUGUUAGACCUUAAAAACUACCAAGCCUACAUGGCGCGUAGGCCGAGUAAUUAAAAAGCUAACUAAGUCAUUCGGUUGUGUGCGGGGCAUGCCAACUCGUCGACCGAACUCGGCCGGGGAGUAAAAUGUGUUGAUGUUGCGUUGGGCGCGAUGCUGACUUCUUGAUCUUGCGACUAUGGCCGAGCAAGGAACACGUCUCAGCCUUCAGGUUCCAGAGCCUGAAGACAAGACUGCUAGUUCUGUGAAGUUCAAUAUCAAAUUCGGCCUUCAAAGUGCCGAAUGUAGUAACCUGUAACACCUCACUUCGUCGAGAAGGCUAAUAAGAUGACCUCUGCCAAUAAGGAGUCGAAAAUCCUUCUCGACCGAGACUUGGAUAGAUAACCAAUCGACCCCGACGCCGUGCUGUUUAUCCAAACUGAAGGUGCUCCGGGGUCGGUUGAUUUCACGGCAACAGUGCUGUUUAUCCAGACUGAAGGUGUCACCGAACUGAAGUUGUCACUGGUUGCCCUCAUAGUGCUGUUUAUCCAAACUGAAGAUGUGUUGGCAAAAAAGGAAAAUAAAAAUCUCAAGGUUAUUGAGAGGUUUCGCGUAGAGCGAGUUUGCGCAAGGCAGUUUGUGUGUUGAGUUUGAGGGGGCAUCACUUGUUGCAACGCACCUUGUAUUUAUAGCAUUCAUAUCUUCUACUGGGCACAACCAGAUAAUUUUGUAGAGUCUAACUACAACUCUAAUUCACGGAAAUGAACUUGAUCCGCAUCAGAAACCAAGGCAUAUCCUUCAAAUUGAUCCGUGGGAUUUGUUUCUAGACUUUUCAAACCUAAUAAAAGUUAGGCUUAUCACAUCUCAUAAAAAGCUUGGCCCACCGAGGCUUCUUAUCAUCAAAACUCCAUCAGUAGCUUUUAAACCCAUCUGACAUCACCAUGCAAAAAGGCCUAGUCUACCUAGGUUCUUUAUCCCAUCAUUAUCCAAGACCAUGAUUUUAAGAUCAUCAAAUCCCAUAUGUUGAUCUCCACUCCAAGCUAUUUCAAUCUACACAUCCACUGCUAGACGUCCAAAUCAAUUUGAACCGCACCGCUUGCUUCAUUAUCUAACGCCAUAUAUAUCCCAAUAUCCCACCAUCAUUUUAAUUGGGAUUUAGACAAAUAUUAGGUUUAAAUAAUUUAAUAUAUUACCAAGAGAUAAUAUAAUGAUUAAAAUCACAAUAUUAUUUCUCAAUAAUAACUAAAAAGGUAAAUUACAUAGUAACCCCUCAGGUUUGAAGUCUAUUACAGCCCCAUACAACAUCUUUAAAACAUUUCACUUUCAUACCUUAAGUACUAUUUUAUUUCAAUUUCAUACAUACGUUACAUUUUCCAUCCAUUGAUCCGUUAAGUACUGAUGUGGCUGGCAAAUGCGUGUCAAGUGGCAAUUUUUAUUUUAUUUUAAUUUUUUUAAACUAAAUCUUCUAAAUAUUAAAAAAAUAAAAAAAAAUAAAAACUAAAACCUUAUCCCCCUCAUCCUCCUCUCUUCUCCCCGCAACCCCCAAACCUCUCCCCCAUUUUCAUCUUCUUCCCUGCAACCCAGAAAGAAAGGAAAAAAAAAAAACCCUUUAAGUUCGUCUUUCCGGCCCCCUCUUCCCCUCUCUUCUCCCCCAUCUUCAUCUUUUUUCCCCCGACCCCCUACCUGUAACCCAAAAAAAAAAAAAAAAAAACCCAGAUCCCGUCUCGCCAUUGUCGUGUUCGUGGAACGGGUGUGGAUUUAAGGAGUGAGGGGUGUUUAGAGGAGAGUGAGGGUUGUGUAGAGAGGAGAAAAGGGUGGGCGGUGGGGUUGCAGAUGAGAGAAGAGAUGGGGUCGGGUUCUGGGUGACCUGUAUCGCGGAAGGGGGGAUGAGGGUUCUGGGUUGACCUGCAUCGCACCGCGGGGGGGCUGGGGUGACGAGCGUCGUACCAGGGAUAUGGGGUUACAGGGAUCUAAGGGAUAGAUCUGGGUUUUUAGUUUUUUUUGGGGGGGGGGUUAUGGGGAUAUGAAAUAGGUUUUUUUUUAAUUUUUUAAUUUUUAAUUUUAAUAUAUAUAUAUAUAUAUAUAGAAAAUUUAGGUUUUUUUAAUUAAAAAAUUAGUAUUUAUGCCACAUGGUGUGUCACGUUGGCAGCCACGUCAGCACUUAACGGAUUAAUGGAUGAAAAAUGUAACGGAUGUAUGAAAUUGAAAUAAAAUAGUACUUAACGUAUGAAAGUGAAAUGUUUUAAAGAUGUUGUAUGGGGUUGUAAUAGACCUCAAACUUGAGAGGUUACUAUGUAAUUUACCCUAACUAAAAAUCAUUUCAACCACUUUGUCAUUCAAUGGCCUAAAAUCCUGCUCAUUCAACGGCCUUGAUUACUCAGGCCGAUAGUGUAAAAUCGGGUCCAAACAUUGCCCCCCCCCAGUUUCCUUAACUUUUCGGCUCGUAAGCCAAAUAGUUAAGGAAAUUAAUUAUUCGUAGCCAACAAAAUCCCAUCACAUUACUGAAAAAGAAACUUUGUUCCUUGGCAAUAACAUGUAUGUUCUGCCAACGCUGUGGUCUUCCUCGACUGCCACAAUUCUAUACAAGGUUUGGCGACUUUGCCAGAAAAACCUUGUAAUUACUUUGACCAUCCAACUCAUACGGUCGAAAUGCAAAUGGGGCCGAGAAAAACUGGGCCGAGAAGAACCUGAUUCUUGAUAGCUCGGCGUGUCACCCACCAUGAAUAUUGCAAUCCCUUUUUCUGAAACAAUCACAUGUGGAUAGCUUGACCAAGUUUGGCCUGUCAUUCAGCCAUCCACUCAUCAACAUUAUUAUAUACAUAUAUAAAAACCAAGGCCAUAAAAAACAAAAUCAAAUCUUGGCUUAUUGGCCUAUUCAGUCUAACUUGGAAUGAUGUUGUUAGCCAUGCAUAUUUCUAUCACAUUUUAUUAUUUUCUGACUCCCAGCUCCACCAAAUAGUCUCUGCUAAGAGCAACUUCAGUGUGGGCUGGUGCUCGGGGGACGGGGGACAAAAUAGGGCCAGAUAGCCAGGCCUUGAAGCUCCAAUGUGGGUAGCCCGAGGGAGAGUGGAGGCUCGAGCUCCGCGCCUAUGAGGAAUUGCCAGCCCAAGAGCCCGAGUGGUUGUGAUGUCAUCCUAGCGCAAUGACAACAUUCUGAAGUAACUCCCUAAAACCAACUGUCUUAUUCUUCUUCCUCCUCUUUUGCUGCUACAUUUCAAUGGAAGACGAUAAUGAUGAUGAAUCACCAAUUAAAUCACUUGGCUUACAAAAGACCGAGACUAGGACUAAGCUGUGGAAGAGAGCAAUGCGCAGCUUGUGCAAGUCGACGGCUUCAACAUCGUCGUCGUCGGCGUAAUUGGGGAACCGGUGGGGUGAGAUGUUGCAGGUGGUGAAGAGGUCUCGGAGGUCGGAUGGGUGUACGUGAGAUGGGUUUGUGGAUAUAAAAUUGGGACCAUGGCUUGCAGGGGAAAUGGCGAUUUGAACUUUGAUGGUGUUUUUAUGGUUUUUUCCAUCUGGGUUUUACGUCUGAUGCUCACCCAUUUCAACUCCAUACUUUUGACGGACAUGGUGGCAGCCGCCGUAGCCACCACUGCACUGACCUCCAUUCUCUUUCUCUUUGCUUUUAUUCUGCGUCGAUAGUGGAAGAUAAUGGGUAUACGUAAUUGUCUUUUCGGGUAAUGACACGUUGCGCAACGAGAACGAUUAAAAAUCUGAUCGAAAUCUAUCCUCAAAGAUUCUGAAAAAGUAAGGACACGUGGCACGACGACAUUGGAUAAAAAUCUUAUCGAAAUCCAUCACCAAUAAUUGUCUUUUCGGAUAAUGACACGUGGCGCAACGAGAAUGAUUAAAAAUCUUAUCCGAAAUUACAAAUAAAAAAUUAUUAUGUAUUAUUUAAAAAAAAAUAUAUUUUAUUGCCUAUUGCCAGGGCUAUUCAAGUGCAACGGUGGAGAUACAAAAUGCAGUUACUAUUCAUUAAGGGCAGUUACUGUUCAUAGGGUGGAUUGAAUAGUGAAUAGCUUAGGGGAGGGCUCCCACGCUGGAGUUGCUCUAAACGCAUCGAAUAACAUCCUUGCUGAAGAAAUUCGAGGAAAACCAAAACAAGUGUCUCCAUUGAGAUUCAAGGCCGUGUAGACCUACCGAAUGAUAAAUCCAACUUCAUCGAAUUUUUUCCUGAUCAUUUUCGGCCUUUGAGAUCCAUCGCCCAACUUGCUUACUCUUAGCCUAAAUAGCCAAAAGUUUUUUUUUUUAGUAACCACAUGGUAGAUGCCAUACAAGUAAUAUAUGCUGCCACGUCCAUUUGCUCCUACCAUCGAGUUUUUGUACGAGGUUAGAAGGAUGUUCGCAAGGACUCUCUUGUGCACUCAAACCGUCAGUUCGAAAACUAAACCCAAUACUCGUACAUUCCCUGACCGCUGAGCACCUCCGAGUGACACCGAAAAAUAUAUGGUCGAGGAAAAAUGAGCAUCCACUGCCGAAUAAAAAUUUUACCAAAGCUCUACCGAAGAAGUCUAUCACCAAAGCUAUGGUUGAAGAAAUAUAUGGUCGAGGACAAAAUCCUCCUGUUGACUUGGGUGAUGCAAACCACCAAAUUGAUUUACGCCGACUUCGACCAAAGCUCAUAUAUGCUCUGAUAUUUGUAUAAAUAGGCCUCAUGCCCAACUUUACAACUUCCACUUAGAUAGCCUUUUACUGUAGACGUGCCAUGUUAUGGAAAAGACCCCAUGAUUUUACCACGAUAACCAGUGCCGAGCAACAGUUCAUGCUCGCCGAGCUCGGCAAAAAAAUUGGCAUAUAAGACCUUGAAUCUGCCAACGCCUAUAUGGCCGAAGUUUCAGGAGGUUACUUCGGCAAAAAGCUGGCAUAUAUAUGUGUGUGUGUAUAUAUAUAUUUGACAAUAAAAGUGGUCUUGUCUUGACUGAUCAACGGUGCCACAUGGGAUAUUCCUUGGCCCAGUAUAUAAGACCUAUAUAUCACCUGUUGUUGAUACGUAUUCUAACAUAACUUGGAAGCAAAUCAUGAUCCUCACGUCAAACAUGUCCAUAGGCUAAAGCUUGCUGCCUCUUUUGUCUUAAUCACAUCACAUCAUCAUAUUACUAUUUCACCUUUAUCCCAUGCAUGGAUUAAUUGCACGAAAUUAAGCCAGUAGUAGCUGUACUGCCGCAUGAGCCUGCCAUCACCCAUAUGCCGAAUAUCCCCAAUUAAUUUGAAUAGUAGGAUAGAGAUUUCUGCACUGAGCAUCAAUUUUACCAAGUAGCUAUUUAAUUCACUCAUUCUCGGCGAAAUAUUUUUUACCGUCGAAAUAUACCACAUGUGCCCCCUUUAUUUUCUUAAGCAUCGGCUUCUCGGCCUAAUGGUUAAGAAAAUAAUUUUUUCACCUUUUUUUUUUUU